ACUAUAGUUAGUGUUCGAGGUCCGGUGAUUCGCAAGAAUUGCCGGCUAAGAGGGAAGCCGGUGAGCCCUGCCUGCAAGGCAAUUCCGGCGCUGCCCCCGCAACUGUGAACGGCGAGUUGUCAUCCGAAAGCCACUGGGUUCGCCCGGGAAGGCGGAUGUGAUCAGCGUUGACCCGUAAGUCAGGAGACCUGCCUUGAACGAACAACGUCA
rnacentral:ncRNA from 2 species